UGUUGGUAAUUUAAGCAGGCAGGCGGCACGGGUCUAGUUUCUUUGAGUGCUUUGGAAAUUUGCUGCUGGAGACUGGACACGCUGGGUAACGUGAGUGAGAGGGCCUAGUCCCCCUUUCUUAGUCUGCUGGCUAUGGGAGCUGGAGCUUAGUGGGUUUCUGACUAAGCUGUGAUGCUGCACCUCCGUUCUUGGAAAUGACUAUGGUCUUUAGUUUAGUGGCCAGACGUUGUGGAACCAUCUUCUUGCACACUGUGAAGAUGUGCCUUUGCCUCCUGAUUAGUUCAAUAAAGGGCUAAAUGGCCGAUAACGAGACAGGAAGUUUACGUGGGACUUCCAGGCACGGAGAGGACUCUGGGAAGAAGAGCCGCAGAGAAGUCAGCCAAACGCGGAACGAGUCCGAGACACAGAAUGGGACAAAGGAUGAAAGCACACAACUUACCUUCGAUUGCUGCGUAACUCUGCGUGCAUCCUCUGUGGUCUUCUCAUCCUGGGAGGCCAAUCUUCAGGACCAGCUGCCUGGGUCUAGAGUAAGCGUGGGCACGCACCUCUGGAUGUGCGCAUGAGGCAGGCGGGGUCCGGUUCUGAACGGAAAGAAGAAAGCGAGCUCAGUACAGCAUUUGUUCCCGUCGCUUCCCGGCUGCGGACAGCAGGUGACCAGCCUCCCUCAGUCUUCCCCGCCAUGCCCAGGCGUGCACAGAGCUCUUAACAGUGUCCACUGAUGGCCAAGAGAGGACAAGCAUCGAGGACACUGAGGUCGUCAGUACAACCCCUGACACCAGGAACCAAAGAGUGAAUAAAAUCACCCAAACCUAACACCAACAUUUUAAGUGGACCAGGAUAGUGAUUUUAUUUGGGCAUCAAUGCUUUGUGAGCGAGAAAGCGAAUUUCCUGUAGUCUAAUGUGUGUCUCUAACACCCACCCAGCCUGAGUCAAAUGCACCUCAUCAACAGGAAGCACUGGCCAUUCACUUCCUGCAUGAAAACGUCUGAACACUGGUAGGGUCUGUCUGGUUGACAUUGCUGCUAUUCAUAGAACACAGAUGAGAAUCCACAGUAGGAGUUGGCGCUGGACUCAAGAACCCCUGUUCUCCUAAGCCUUUCUCCUGACUUUACAGUGUCACCCAAGGAUUGUUAGAUGUGGCAAUGUAUUACCACCAACAUUAUCAGUAACUUAUCGAUAUAGAUUCCGUGGUGACUGUGUUCUCUAAAUCCAUUGCUUUCCCCUUCUAAAGUUCAGGGAACUGAGUGGUUUUGUCAAAAUACAGACAGCUAGAGUUCAGAAGUAAAUGCAUGCUGCCUGCUAGUUUUCUGUAACUUGACACAGGAUAGUCAUUUCAAAAGAAGGGAUCUCCAUUAAGAAAAGUCUCCCACCAGACUAGCUUGUGGGCAAGCCUGUAACACACUUUCUCAACUGGGAAUGUGGGUGGGUCCAUCCUACAGAGGGGGGCAGCACCCCGGGCCCAUGGUCCUGGGGUGUAAGAAAGUAGCUGAUCAAGCCAUGGCCUCUGCAUCAGUUGUUGUCAUGAGUUCCAGCUAUGACUCCUCUGCACUGACUUCAAGCUGUGAGAUCAAACAAACUCUAUCCUCCCCUAGUUGCUUUUGGGAAGGAAGACAAUGGAAAAGAUAACUGGAAAUUCCAGUUCUUGUAUGAAUGAUUUGCAGGUAGCUCAAGCCAUUUGGGCAUUCCAGCAUUAGGGAAGUUGUAAGAUACACCUCUGUAGUCCCGAGGCUAUGUGCAGGUUUAAGAAUGACAGUAUGGAGUGAACUGUAAGCCAACAACUAGCUCUACCAUGCUAAAAAUAAACAUUCCCAA